rnacentral:rRNA from 1 species
UACGAAGGGUGCUAGCGUUGUUCGGAAUCACUGGGCGUAAAGCGCGCGUAGGCGGCUAUCCAAGUCAGAGGUGAAAGCCCUGGGCUCAACCCAGGAACUGCCUUUGAUACUGAGAGGCUCGAGUCCGGGAGAGGUGAGUGGAACUGCGAGUGUAGAGGUGAAAUUCGUAGAUAUUCGCAAGAACACCAGUGGCGAAGGCGGCUCACUGGCCCGGUACUGACGCUGAGGUGCGAAAGCGUGGGGAGCAAACAGG